rnacentral:rRNA from 1 species
ACGGAGGAAAAGAAACCAACAGGGAUUGCCUCAGUAACGGCGAGUGAAGCGGCAAAAGCUCAAAUUUGAAAUCCCCCGGGAAUUGUAAUUUGAAGAGAUUUGGGUCCGGCCGGCGGGGGUUAAGUCCACUGGAAAGUGGCGCCACAGAGGGUGACAGCCCCGUGAACCCCCUCAACGCCUUUAUCCCAGGUCUCCAAGAGUCGAGUUGUUUGGGAAUGCAGCUCUAAGUGGGUGGUAAAUUCCAUCUAAAGCUAAAUACCGGCGAGAGACCGAUAGCGAACAAGUACAGUGAUGGAAAGAUGAAAAGCACUUUGAAAAGAGAGUGAAAAAGUACGUGAAAUUGUUGAAAGGGAAGGGCUUGCAAGCAGACACUUAACUGGGCCAGCAUCGGGGCGGCGGGGAGCAAAACCACUGGGGAAUGUACCCUUCGAGGAUUAUAACCCCGGUCCUUACUCCCUCACCAUCCCGAGGCCUGCAAUCUAAGGAUGCUGGCGUAAUGGUUGCAAGUCGCCCGUC